rnacentral:rRNA from 1 species
AUGCUAUCCAAAAGUGGAUUCACAUGGGAUGGAAGUCGAAAGAUGAUUCAGUGCGAGAAGGCACAAUAUGAAGCUCAUUGUCAGAUUCACAAGGAGGCUAAGGGAUUGUAUGGUGUAGCAUUUCCAUACUUUGAACAAUUGGCUGCUAUCUAUGACAAAGACAUUGCAACAGGAGAAAAUGCGGAAGGCUUUGGAGAGACAGUGGGAAACUUGGAGAAGGAAAUUGCUAUGGAGGAAGAAGAAAAUGAGGAAGAGGACAUGAUCUCAAUAGGAACAGCUCGACGGUCCAUUGACACUUGCUCUAUUGAUACAACUAGUUCGAACAGGCAGAAAAAGGAGCCAAGGCCAAAGAGGGCGACGGGACCAAGCGAUCCAUUUGCAGCCAUGCUUCAAGAUGUUAAUAGCCAGCUGAACAGCAUGACACAAUGUGGGUGCAAUGGCAACAUCAUUUACAGUAGCAAUGGCACAAUAAGAAGCAGAAGAAGACCCUCAACAGAAAUCAAGAGAAAAUGCAAUUAG